rnacentral:rRNA from 1 species
UACGAAGGGUGCUAGCGUUGUUCGGAAUUACUGGGCGUAAAGCGCGCGUAGGCGGCGUUUCAAGUCAGGGGUGAAAUCCUUGGGCUCAACCCAAGAAUUGCCUUUGAAACUGUAACGCUGGAGUGUCGGAGGGGAUAGCGGAAUUGCUAAUGUAGAGGUGAAAUUCGUAGAUAUGCGGAGGAACACCGAUGGCGAAGGCAAUCCCCUGGGCCUGCACUGACGCUCAUGCACGAAAGCGUGGGGAGCAAACAGG